UAAGAACCUGUGGCAUGAUGAGUUUGCGCAAAAGAACAGUGCAGGUGCCAUCAUAUAUACAUUCAUUGUCAUUCACGCACACUAUUGGAGGGACUCCAAUCUACAUUAGUACAGUGCAAUCAGCGCCAGUACCAGUGGUCGCUCAAUGUGUGGUUUGGAAUUUACGCCAGUGCAAUAAUCAGUACCAUCUUCAAUCACGCACUGACUGGACAGCGUUAUGUGAACGAAAUCCUUGAAGGAGUGGUUGAUGAGUUUCUCAGCAAAAUGGGCCACCUGCAUGCAGCAGCAGCCGAGCACGAAACUGGUUGGGUGCUACUUUUCAAAUAGAUUGGAAGGCACGAGCCUGUAAAGAGGCCGGCUAGGUCACGUGACCUCUCCGUUAAGUUUCUUUCUUUGGGGUUAUGUGAAAGAUUGUGCCGGACGUCACAUUAGUUCAAGGUAAGGAUAACGGAUGUCUGCCAUAGAAUUCCGGCAUCGGUCAUCAAGAAAGCCACUAAAGGUGUGAUAAAAUAGACAGUGCUGCGUAGCUGCAAAAGGAGACCUAUUUGAACACGUCCUCUAGGCUGAUGUUCAACGCAGCUUACGAAUUAAUAGAUAGUAAGAGCACACAGUUUUUUUGUUUUGUUUUUUUGUCUGUGUGUGUGUGUGUGUGUGCCGACAUUCUGAUUGCCAGUUCGGCUCACAGAAGUGGUAUAUUUAAUUUCGUGAACGCAUUGGUUUUGCCUUUUCUCUACAAGUUGGUCGCUUUCCAGUGUGUUUAUUUCGCUUUUAUUUGUUGACACGAACCUGUUUUUGCAGCACGUGUACACUUUCAUGAAAAAUAAAACGCUCACUUUAUAUUG